rnacentral:lncRNA from 1 species
GGCCGCAGAAGAAAUCGACGGCUCAUCACAGGAAGACGAGGCCGAAGAAGACGCAGCCUUGGGACAUUAAGAGGAAGCCCACCGUUUACGCUCCUCUUCCUCCUCUCCCGCCGGAUUGGUCUCCUCUCGCUCUUUCUUCCGACGACGCACACAAAUCACCUUUUUUUUUCUUCCCGUCUCACUCUUGUGUUUUUUCUUCGUGUUUGAUUCUUCCUCUUCGAAUCAUCGUCUUCGAUUUUUCCUCUUCGAGUCCUCGUCUUCGAUUCUUCCUCUUCGUGUUCGAUUCUUCUUCCUCGUCUUCGUUCUUCUUCAAUUUUUUUUCGAUUCUUCACCAACUUCUGAUUUCAUCAUCUCUUAAGAUUUGAUUUUUCGUGAUUUGUGUUAUGGGUUUUCACUAUUAGCUACUGAUUCGUAUCAUCUACUAAUAUUGUGUUAUGGUUUAUGUGUUAAAUAGAUCGGUGAUUUGUGUUCAUAACGAAGUUGGUGGCGAGUCUGGCGACUGUUUCUGUUUCCGCAAGUCAGACGAAAUUACGAAUUUUUUAAACUUAUCUUGAAUUUUUUAUAACUUUGAAACAUGAAGUUUAAAACUUAAAGUUUAAGUAUGUGACAUCUUUAAAAUUGAAAACUUAAUAAUCUUUAAAUUUUUAAAACUGAAAUUAUGUUGUUUACAUUAAAUGGGCGUAUGGGCCGCCCAUGGAUAGCCCAACAAAUCAUGGUCUUAUUUGGUUAUGGUCGCAUUUGGACAUGGUUCUAUUUGGGCUUCGACCAAAAAUAUCCAGCAAAAAAAUGAAACCCAUUCGGACACACCCAAACCCGCCCAACCCGCCCAUUUGACAUCUCUAAAUGCUUUCAUCAUCCAAUACUUCGGGGUAAUAUCUCACUAUCAAAUUGGAGGAAGAAGAAUCAAAACGGCUUUAGUAUGUUACCUCAGGGGAGAGUUUCUUGGGCUGCUGCAAUGAUGUGUAUUGGGUUACUAUGUAGCUUAUUCUGAGGAUCCAUAUAGCCAUAACUCUUACAACACAAUUCCAAAACAUAUUAUGCGACAAGAUAUAGAAAAGACAAAAAGACUAGCUGAGUGCGAGAGAAAGAACAUGAAAUAACAUACACAAGAACAUAUCAAAUUAAUACAAGAAAAUACCUUUUUAUUGCUUUUCAAUUUCACUGUGGCUUUUUCAAGCUUGAGAGUGGAUGUUCUUCAGCUUCCUAUGCAAAAUGCACUUAGAGAAAGAAUGUACAUACAUAAGUGAAACGACGACUGAUUCAAUUCUCAUCCUAACUCUACUUUACUUUCUUUCCCUCAGUUUUCAUUGUCUAUAUCUGAAUGCAUAAACAAUCAAAAUAGCAAUAGAAGAGAGAGGGAUAACUUCUGAUUUAGUCACAGCCAUUUAGGAGAUAAUUUUUUAUACAACAAUAGAAAGAUGAAUUUAGUCUUUUACAAGAUUGUGGACUACAUCAGUACAUGAACACAAAUCUAUAAAUGGAACUGACAAAGGUAGGAUUCUGCAAUAAGAUCAGAGAAGGCACAACUUAUAAAAGUGGCAAAACAAGUAAAAUGAGGACAAAACCAUGACUAAAAACAAAGUGAAACUUGGGGGUCGUUAAUGGCCCAAGUGACCACGCCCGCCACAACUUUUACACAUAAUGUUACCACUUCCACCGCAACCUACAUCAAAACAAUCAAAUUGGUUAAUACAUAACAUUAUAUAACUUGAGCAACAUAAGAAGAAAGAAAAGCAUGAUAGGAGAAUUGACCUAAGCAACGGACUUUAACAAUGAUGCCUUGGCUCUCCAUAAUGGAGUCAACGUAUAGACCAGUUCCAGAGCAAGUGGCACAAAGCAAUGCACCUUUCGCUUCACAACAAAUGCAACGCUUAUUAUCACCAAUCUCUCUCUCGGACAUAGAUAAUCCAACUGGCUCAUCGAUGAUCUCUUCAGGUAUGGGCUUGUCGUAACAGAACAUUGACUCGAGACUGCUUAACUGUCUGUUCACAUCUCUUUUUACACAUGACUCAGCCUACAUAAUUUAAACAAACAAUGAUUCUUAUUAAUGCUAGUACUCGUAAUCAUCAUCAUCAUCAUCAAACAAGUCAUGACAUUUAGAAUCUGCAUCAUUUCAGAUGCAGAUAAUUUGAAAUAAUUUGAAAUUACUGAUGAUAUUAGUUAAUUCGUAAUCCAAAUUGAGUGUUCCACAUGAAUGAAACAUAAAUCUCAGCAGAAGGAGAGAUAUUAACCUUGAGAGACGAAGAAGGAGGAGGAAGAGAGCACACUUUUACGCGGGAACCGAAUAAUCUAGGAGAAGGAAUCACGCGUCGAGUUCUUCCGCCGAUAAAACUCGGUUUCGCCGGAAAAGCAAAAUCUAAAGCGGUAUUCAUCGUCGACGAGAGCGAGAUUUCGAAAUCGAAUAGAGAGAUGAAGAAGGUGAGUGAUGAUGAUUAGCUUUGGAACCAUCGCCGGUCAUAGGUCUUGUUGUUCGCAAUAACCGAACUAUACCGACAAUGGUAUCCGGUUAUCUAAAUCGAGCAUAUAUCGCUACUCGUAAUAUUAUUUAAACCGAACGAUAAUGGGCCGUUGUAAAUAUGGGCUAUAUCUUCUGGCCCAAUAGAACCUGCGAUAAAACGAAAACUUGGAGAAGAUAUGGUAGCUCCUUCUCUAAUCCGAAGCUAGAGGCUCUCAUACUCACUUCAACUGCAAGCAGAAAGAUAAGGCGAAACAAUGUCUGUGUCAGCGAUCUUUGGCACCGGAAUCGCCACAGUCGGUUGUUCCCCGGCUCUCCGCCAGUUUCAAGUUCCGAAACUGGGAAACGGAGGAGGAGUGGGAGGAGGAUUGGGGAUGGUGAUAGAGUGUUCGUCGAGGCCGCAGAAGAAAUCGACGGCUCAUCACAGGAAGACGAGGCCGAAGAAGACGCAGCCUUGGGACAUUAAGAGGAAGCCCACCGUUUACGCUCCUCUUCCUCCUCUCCCGCCGGAUUGGUCUCCUCUCGCUCUUUCUUCCGACGACGCUGGUGUCACUAGCGCCACCGCCGGGGAUUUGGUUUCAGGCGGUGCCGCCUAGUUAUGAG